AUUGCUUACAAUUGGAGUGCAAAUUACGCUUGAACCAAACUUAACGAAAAAUCAGAAAUGUUGCCGAAAGUAGUGCUCCUGAUGGCCCCUAUUGUGGGAGGCCUGGCCACCGCUUACAUUUGGAACGUUAUCGCCAAGAUGGAACGCGAGCGGCAAAUCAAAAAUGUUCUCAUUGCGGAUAUUGAAAAGUGCGUGGAAGCAGUGCGCAAUUCACGCGCCCAAGGAGACGUCUCCUUUGAGGAGAAGGACGGCGAUGCCAUUGACCCACUCGACGAAAUGGCCGAACUGGCUUACCAAAUGGAAUUCGAAGAAUAAAUAAUCACAUGUCAUCAUUUACAUUAUUUUGGUUUACGAGUAGAGUACAAAAAUAAAAAUAGUUAAACCAUGGGAACCACAA